rnacentral:misc_RNA from 1 species
UACGGAGGGUGCAAGCGUUAAUCGGAAUUACUGGGCGUAAAGCGCGCGUAGGUGGUAGACUAAGUUGGCUGUGAAAUUCCCGGGCUUAACCUGGGCAGGUCAGCCAAAACUGGUCAACUAGAGUACAGUAGAGGGUAGUGGAAUUUCCGGUGUAGCGGUGAAAUGCGUAGAUAUCGGGAGGAACAUCAGUGGCGAAGGCGGCUACCUGGACUGAUACUGACACUGAGGUGCGAAAGCGUGGGGAGCAAACAGG